CUCGAAAAUAAUGGUGAGUGUCAUAUCCAACCAAUUCUGCACACUGCCGGACCCCAUCCCACUCCUCCCAAGCACCGCCACCAUUUAUUUAAUCUAUAUAGGGAGGUGACACUAAAUUGGAGGCCCCAACUGUUUACUAAAAACCCAAUAAUCUGCAAUGAUGAAUAUCAUAGUAUAGAAAUGUGCCUGAUGCCAUUAAUAUAAGAAAGGUUGUUGAAAAAUGUGACUAAUUGAAAGUCUGGUUAAUAGCAGUCUUAACCAUGAGGAUCAGGUAGCAAAGUCAGUUGGCCAUUAAGUAUGGUCAAGUAUCAAUAAUGUAAUGAUGGUCUCACUG
rnacentral:ncRNA from 1 species